UACGGAGGGUGCAAGCGUUAUCCGGAUUCACUGGGUUUAAAGGGUGCGCAGGCGGGCUAUUAAGUCCGUGGUGAAAUCCCGGGGCUCAACCCCGGAACUGCCAUGGAUACUAUUAGUCUUGAAUAUUGUUGAGGUGGGCGGAAUAGGUCAUGUAGCGGUGAAAUGCAUAGAUAUGACCUAGAACACCGAUUGCGAAGGCAGCUCACUGGACAAUUAUUGACGCUCAGGCACGAAAGCGUGGGGAUCAAACAGG
rnacentral:rRNA from 1 species